CGUUGAAGUACCGAUUCUCGCCCGCUCACCGAAGUUAAGCAGCGUUGAGCCUGGUUAGUAACUACAUAGGUGACCGCUUGGGAAUACCAGGUGCUGUG